AGAGUUUGAUCCUGGCUCAGAACGAACGCUGGCGGCGUGCCUAACACAUGCAAGUCGAACGUGAUUAGAGAGCUUGCUCUCUAUGAAAGUGGCGCACGGGUGAGUAACGCGUAGAUAAUCUACCUGAUGAUUCGGGAUAACACUUCGAAAGGGGUGCUAAUACCGGAUAAGCCCACGGAGUCCUUGGACUCUGCGGGAAAAGGGGGGGACCUUCGGGCCUUCCGUCAUCAGAUGAGUCUGCGUACCAUUAGCUAGUUGGUAGGGUAAAGGCCUACCAAGGCGACGAUGGUUAGCUGGUCUGAGAGGAUGAUCAGCCACACUGGAACUGAGACACGGUCCAGACUCCUACGGGAGGCAGCAGUGGGGAAUUUUGCGCAAUGGGGGAAACCCUGACGCAGCAGCGCCGCGUGAGUGAUGAAGGCCCUUGGGUCGUAAAGCUCUGACAGAGGGAAAGAAAUGCAGGGGAGCUAAUAUCUCCUUUGCUUGACGGUACCCUCAAAGGAAGCACCGGCUAACUCCGUGCCAGCAGCCGCGGUAAUACGGGGGGUGCAAGCGUUGUUCGGAUUUAUUGGGCGUAAAGCGCGUGUAGGCGGUUUUAUAAGUCUGAUGUGAAAGCCCUGGGCUCAACCCGGGAAGUGCAUUGGAUACUGUAAGACUUGAAUACGGGAGAGGGUAGUGGAAUUCCUAGUGUAGGAGUGAAAUCCGUAGAUAUUAGGAGGAACACCGGUGGCGAAGGCGGCUGCCUGGACCGAUAUUGACGCUGAGACGCGAAAGCGUGGGUAGCAAACAGGAUUAGAUACCCUGGUAG
rnacentral:rRNA from 1 species